CGUAGGAGGCGAGCGUUAUCCGGAUUCACUGGGCGUAAAGCGCGUGCAGGUGGCUCGGUAAGUUGGGCGUGAAAUCUCCCGGCUCAACUGGGAGAGGUCGUUCAAUACUACCGAGCUUGAGAGCAGAAGAGGAAGAUGGAAUUCCCGGUGUAGUGGUGAAAAUGCGUAGAUAUCGGGAGGAACACCAGUGGCGAAGGCGAUCUUCUGGUCUGUUUCUGACACUCAGACGCGACAGCUAGGGUAGUAAACGGGAUUAGAGACCCCGGUAAUCCUAGCCGUAAACGAUGUGAACUUGGCGUUGGUGGGUUAAACUCCAUCAGUGCCGAAGCAAACGCGAUAAGUUCACCGCCUGGGGACUACGGCCGCAAGGUUA
rnacentral:rRNA from 1 species